GGCGAGGGGAGUGAAAAAGAACCUGAAACCGUGUACGUACAAGCAGUGGGAGCACAGGUUUACCUGUGUGACUGCGUACCUUUUGUAUAAUGGGUCAGCGACUUAUAUUCUGUAGCAAGGUUAACCGCAUAGGGGAGCCGGAGGGAAACCGAGUCUUAACCGGGCGUUAAGUUGCAGGGUAUAGACCCGAAACCCGGUGAUCUAGCCAUGGGCAGGUUGAAGGUUGGGUAACACUAACUGGAGGACCGAACCGAC
rnacentral:rRNA from 3 species